GACUGAUGAUGAGGGAAUCUCAUUAACAUCAACUAAAACUUGUCCAAACCUUGGUAGAAGUUUUCUCCACCUUUCUUUCUAAAACUCAAAAUAUCACUCCUUAAUUU